UUCUGUGAUAAAUGUAAGAUGCAGAAUUAUUUUUGCAAUAUGUUCCUGAAUAUGUAAUAUAAGUGUAUUGGGAUCAUUUUGCAUCCAUAGUUUUGUAUCAACAUAUGGAGAAAAGUCU
rnacentral:precursor_RNA from 1 species